rnacentral:rRNA from 1 species
GGCCCGAGUUGUAAUUUGCAGAGGAUGCUUUUGGCGCGGCGCCUUCCGAGUUCCCUGGAACGGGACGCCAUAGAGGGUGAGAGCCCCGUCUGGUCGGACGCCAAGCCAGUGUAAAGCUCCUUCGACGAGUCGAGUAGUUUGGGAAUGCUGCUCUAAAUGGGAGGUAUAUGUCUUCUAAAGCUAAAUAUAGGCCAGAGACCGAUAGCGCACAAGUAGAGUGAUCGAAAGAUGAAAAGCACUUUGAAAAGAGGGUUAAACAGUACGUGAAAUUGUUGAAAGGGAAGCACUUGUGACCAGACUUGGGCCCGGUGAAUCAUCCAGCGUUCUCGCUGGUGCACUUCGCCGGGCCCAGGCCAGCAUCAGUUCGCCGCGGGGGAUAAAAGCUUCGGGAACGUAGCUCCCUCGGGAGUGUUAUAGCCCGUUGCAUAAUACCCUGCGGUGGACUGAGGUUCGCGCUCCGCAAGGAUGCUGGCGUAAUGGUCACCAGUGACCCGUCUUGAAACACGGACCAAGGAGUCGUCUUCGUAUGCGAGUGUUCGGGUGUCAAACCCCUACGCGUAAUGAAAGUGAACGCAGGUGAGAGCUUCGGCGCAUCAUCGACCGAUCCUGAUGUUCUCGGAUGGAUUUGAGUAAGAGCAUACGGGGCCGGACCCGAAAGAAGGUGAACUAUGCCUGUAUAGGGUGAAGCCAGAGGAAACUCUGG